UACGGAGGAGGCAAGCGUUAUCCGGAAUUAUUGGGCGUAAAGCGUCCGCAGGUGGCACCUCAAGUCUGCUGUCAAAGGCCGGGGCUUAACCCCAGAAAGGCAGUGGAAACUGAAGUGCUAGAGUGCAGUAGGGGUAGAGGGAAUUCCCGGUGUAGCGGUGAAAUGCGUAGAGAUCGGGAAGAACAUCGGUGGCGAAAGCGCUCUGCUGGACUGCAACUGACACUCAGGGACGAAAGCUAGGGGAGCGAAUGGG
rnacentral:rRNA from 1 species